rnacentral:lncRNA from 1 species
UGUUAAAUUGAAAAUUCAUUCGUAAAAAUUUUAAAAUCGGUUAGGAAAAGCCUAAAGACAGCUUGAAUAGGGUUCAUGAUUAGUCGCUAAUUAACUGUUGGACUUCUAGCCAUUGACGGGUUCGGUUCUCUUUUUAAAAUAGCGUCAUUUCACCACGAAAUUCGUCAAAAUAUAUACAAGUAUCACAAUUUUAAUUUGAAUUAUUUUUCAUUGAUUCUCCUAUUAUUUUCCUGUCGUCCUUUUCAUAUUAGCUAGGUACGACACUGGUAACUCGUCAAUGUUUAGCACAAUUUACAGUUAUUUUAUUGUCUCUCUGAUUUGUUGUUUCAAUUUUCCACAAGAGAUCGCUAACACCACCACUCGUGAUCGACGAGCUUUGGAUCGUUUAAACAUAUCCUCUCGAUUGUGCUCUGUUUGUUCUAACUUAUCAAAGCGUCCUUCGAUAAUAUUCCCGACAUAAGUAAGCGUUUUAACUUUUAUUACAUAUUCAUAAACGUUGCCGUGUUUUCGGUUUUAUGUGUGGUGUCGUUUAGUAACUUUAUAAGGUUUAACACUGUUGUGUUCUUUACAAUAAUUUCAUCAAUAAUACGUGCAGACUUUUAAUUUAAUCUAGUGAUGAAACUACUAAUUUUGACGAUUUUAAGUGUUCAAUGGAUACUAUACAAUCAGUUUAUCGACAGCUUAAGUUUUAAGUUAUGAAGUAUGCUGAAAACUAUCAUUUCAAGAACUUCAAUACCUAAAGGAGCAGUUUGAAAUCACUUACUUAAGGACAACUCAGGAUAAAAGGGACCGUUCCAUAUGAAAUUAUGAAAUGUAGAUUCAAAGCUUGGACGAGAAAACUUGGAAAGGAAAACUUCGAAGGAUUUUAUAAAAUGAAAACCAUAGAAUACAAUAUGUCAACAGAAUUCUGGAGAUCAUCACUCCAAUCUUCACACAUGACCGUAAUUUUCUAUAUUCACAUUUCACUAUAUAUCACAAAAUUCCACCCUUAUUAACCAAACUUUGAAACAAACCAUGGAACUGAUUAUCGACGAUGGACUAGGAAAUUCAGAAUUUUUUUUUCAACAUAAUAGACCAGGAAAUUCCAAAAUUUCUCUUCCACUUUACUACAAGACAUGGAAUAUUCUUCAGAAUAUCCGAAUUCCAAAGCAGCUAACUGAAUUCAACAUCAAAACUGAACAGCAGUGAUGUGUGUUGGUGUAAGCACAGCUGAGAUCGUGAUGAUAAGAGCCGAAGAAAAAUUUGGAGCCACGAACUUUAAUGGAUCCAUGGGGUUUAUUAUGUACGUACUUCGAUAGUCGAAUGCAUUUCCAAUCCUUGGUACGAAUUUUUCCAUUUUCCUCGUAAGGCAUGGAGAAAUGGGUCUUUUUGGCGUUUUGUACCUUCCAUGGAAAUUCACUUUUAUUUUAGAUUUGUAAAUUGUUUAGGAAAAGUGGAUUUAUUUGGAUUCAAAUUACAGUAAGAUGGCUUUCACGUUUUCGAUUUUCACUUUCAGUUUAAAUUUUUGUAGUUAGUUAUGGUGACCACUAUUUUUUUUUAUAAAUCAAUUGCACUCCAAAAAAAAUAACUUUUGAUAAAUGGUUCAAUAUCAGUCAAUUAAUGAUCUAAAAUUAUUUUUUUGUACUUUUUUGUUCACUGUGCAAUCCAAAAAAAAAUUAACUUUU